rnacentral:lncRNA from 1 species
CUCUCUGGUGUGACCUCCUGACCAGUCCAUGGGAGGGCCAGUUGAUGCACAGCUCUCAGAGCCAGCCCUGCUCUCCCCCAGCCAGAGAUUUAUGGAAUGAAACACAGAGUACACAGAGGGACAUUUGCAAUAUUAUGUUGAAAAUACUGCUCCAGAUCUCAAGUUUAGGAACCAAAGAUCCUGUUCUGGCACCUGAACAGCUGAGUAGGAGAGCCCAUAACAUGAGGAUUCCCCUGCUGCUGUUCUGUGAUCAGACCCAGAGUACAACAUGAGAUCAAGAUGUGCCCAAAUAUAUGGGACUGGGCUAGAAAUAGCCCUGGCAAAUGAUCUGUACUUAGAUGGAAUUAGAAUGUGAGUGCUUGGUGGAGGGCAAAAUGCAUGUCUGAAUUUUCCAGCUUGAUGCAUUUUCUAAAAUCAGAGGAAAAUCUGAAUAAAAAUCUUUUUCUUAGGGGGAUUUUAUAGAAA